AUGGGGGGAAAUUGGGAAAUUUUGGCCCUUGUUCCCGCGGGGCUCCGGGCGGCCGCGACCCUGCCGGAGUCCGGGGGGGACCUCCAGAAACCCGGGGGGUCCCUGACUCUCGUGUGCCGCGCGUCUGGAUUCAGUUUUGGGAGUUACAACAUGAUGUGGAUCCGCCAGAGCCCCGGGAAGGCGCUGGAAUGGGUCGCCACUAUCAGCAAUGGUGGCGGCACCUGGUACGCGCCGUCGGUCAAGGGCCGGUUCACGAUCUCCAGGGACAACGGGCAGAGCUCGGUGACGCUGACCAUGACCAACCUCAAGGACGACGAUUCCGGCUCCUAUUUCUGUGCCAGGUGUUACAGCAGUGGUUGGUACAGUGGUUAUGGUGCUGCUGCUGGUGCUGGUUAUGUUGACGAUGCUGCCGUUCGGAACGUUUCACCCAAAUCUCCACCUGCUCUCCCAGCCCCUGAUUGGCCGAGCUGA